UACAGGGGGGGCAAGCGUUGUUCGGAAUUACUGGGCGUAAAGGGUUCGUAGGUGGCCAACUAAGUCAGACGUGAAAUCCCUCAGCUUAACUGGGGAACUGCGUCUGAUACUGGAUGGCUUGAGUGCAGGAGAGGAACGCGGAAUUCCAGGUGUAGCGGUGAAAUGCGUAGAUAUCGGGAGGAACACCAGUGGCGAAGGCGGUUGCCUGGAGCUUUGCUGACGCUGAGGCGCGAAAGCGUGGGGAGCGAUCCGG
rnacentral:rRNA from 1 species